GUUGAGGCGGCUACGACGGCGGAGUAGCGAUGGGCUGUAACCCCAUUACGUAAGAUACGCAGAGAGUUCGAAUCUCUCCCUCUUCA
rfam:Paenibacillus polymyxa SC2 plasmid pSC2, complete sequence.